UUCCCAAUGUUUUAUAGUCCAAAACGAGUUUCGCCAUAUUAUGACUUUCUCAGUUGAUAGAUAACAAGCUUCUUGUGUCACAAUCCUUAUAUACCUUGUAUUAAUUUAUAAAUUGCUGGCAUUUGGGCGUCUUUUGGAGCGUCAUGUUGAGUCUCUACGGUUAUGCACGUUGCGUUCGCAUCCUUAUGUUACUACCCUUUUCUUCAUAGAAUGCAUCGUGUUCCACUGCUUGUGUCAUU